UACAGGGGGGGCAAGCGUUGUUCGGAAUUACUGGGCGUAAAGGGCCAGUAGGCGGCCAACUAAGUCCGACGUGAAAUCCCCAAGCUUAACUUGGGAACUGCGUCGGAUACUGGAUGGCUUGAAUUCGGGAGAGGGAUGCAGAAUUCCAGGUGUAGCGGUGAAAUGCGUAGAUAUCAGGAGGAACACCGGUGGCGAAGGCGGUUCUCUGGGCAUGUCCUGACGCUGAGGAGCGAAAGUGUGGGGAGCGAACAGG
rnacentral:rRNA from 1 species